rnacentral:rRNA from 1 species
GCCUACGGGACGCAGCAGUGAGGAAUAUUGGUCAAUGGCCGAGAGGCUGAACCAGCCAAGUCGCGUGAGGGAUGACGGCCCUACGGGUUGUAAACCUCUUUUGUCGGGGAGCAAGACCCGCCUCGUGCAGGCGGAGCGAGAGUACCCGAAGAAAAAGCAUCGGCUAACUCCGUGCCAGCAGCCGCGGUAAUACGUAUGGUGCAAGCGUUAUCCGGAAUGACUGGGUGUAAAGGGAGCGUAGACGGUUGUACAAGUCUGAUGUGAAAGCCCACGGCUCAACUGUGGGAGUGCAUUGGAAACUGUAG